rnacentral:rRNA from 1 species
AUUGAACGCUGGCGGCAGGCCUAACACAUGCCAGUCGAGCGGAAGCAGGGAGCUGGUUGCUGCUUUGCUCACGGGAGGGGUACGGAAUGGCAAGGACUCGGACACGGCGCGGUGGAUGACGUUCGCUAAUGGGAACGGUAGCUGAAAACGCAUAGCGUCGCAAGGCCAAGGAGGUUGACCUUACGGGCUCUUGGCAUCGGCUGUGCCCAGGUGGGAUUAGCGAGUUGGUGGGGUAAAGGCCUACCAAGGCGACGAUCCCUAGCUGGUCUGAGAGGAUGAACAGUCACACUGGAACUGAGACACGGUCCAGACUCCUACGGGAGGCAGCAGUGGGGAAUAUUGGACAAUGGGCGAAAGCCUGAUCCAGCCAUGCCGCGUGUAUGAAGAAGGUCUUCGGAUUGUAAAGCACUUUCAGUGGGGAGGAAGGGAAGUAAGUUAAUACCUUGCUGUAUUGACGUUACCAACAGAAUAAGCACCGGCUAACUUCGUG